ACAGGAGUGAAUAUCGAUUUCACAGUCAUGGUUUGUCCAUGAAAUCUCUUCGCGCCGGACAACCAUCCAAGCGAACGACGUCAUGGUUUAUAAGCCGUCUGCGGCACAGUAGCCACAGUGCAUGCUGCUUGUGCGCACAUACUGCGCAGCGGCCCAUUCCCUUCAACUCCAGUAUCGUGGAACAUGCAACACUGCUGCUAUAGACAAGCCGGAUGCUGAUGGAUCGCUUGUCUACUGUACCCGGCAACAUCCCUUUGGUCACACAUCAUCUCCAAUAUCACCCAAAUCGGGUAUAUUGUGCUCCUGUCUUACUCCAUGUGCAGUAUUCGGGAGAUCCAAAUGCACGCAGUCGUAGUAGGUACAUGAUUGGGUUGUGGCUUUGGUACAGAGUCAGUGGGUUCUCCUGGACGAUCAUUGGGCCCUGGUGCUCGAAAUGUCGCUGCUAUUCACGAAGUGAAGACGACGCUACGUUGCCAAUGUCCUAUCAUGACUCACAAUCCAGAUGGGAUAACUCGUACAUCUGGACGAAUAGACCGUCUUGGAAUCAUGGAUGGAACCCCCGUGCGACCCACAGCCAUUCUGUAAAAAUAGGUGCCGACACUCUGCAUCUUGACACCAUAGCAGAACGAUCUUUUAGAAGCAUCCUACCAGCAAGUACAAGUACAGUAUAUUGAGCAAAGUACUUCUACUUCUAGUUACAACGAUCUGGAGUAUUUUGGGCGACGCUUAGAUUAUAAUACAAAUGUAACCGAGACCCGGACUGUUC
rnacentral:misc_RNA from 1 species